rnacentral:misc_RNA from 1 species
GAUGAAGAACGUAAUGAAAUGCGAUAAGUAAUGUGAAUUGCAGAAUUCAGUGAAUCAUCGAAUCUUUGAACGCACAUUGCGCCCCUUGGUAUUCCGAGGGGCAUGCCUAUUCGAGCGUCAUUAUCACCCCUCAAGCCUAGCUUGGUGUUGGGGCUUGCUGUAAAGGCAGCCUCUAAAAUCAGUGGCAGUGCUGUCAGGCUCUAAGCGUAGUAAAUUCAUCGCUAUAGGGUCCUGGUGGAUACUCGUCAAAACCCCCAUUUUUAAUGAUUGACCUCGGAUUAGGUAGGGAUACCCGCUGAACUUAAGCAUAUCAAUAAGCGGAGGA